AUAACCUACGGGGGGCAGCAGUAGGGAAUUUUCGUCAAUGGGCGCAAGCCUGAACGAGCAAUGCCGCGUGAACGAGGAAGGUCCUCGGAUCUUAAAGUUCUGUUGAAGGGGAAAAAGAGCGGAGAGAGGAAAUGAACUCCGAUUGAUAUUACCCUUCGAGGAAGUCACGGCUAACUACGUGCCAGCAGCCGCGGUAAUACGUAGGUGGCGAGCGUUAUCCGGAAUGAUUGGGCGUAAAGGGUGCGUAGGCGGCCUGCUAAGUCUGGAGUGAUAAG
rnacentral:rRNA from 1 species